rnacentral:rRNA from 1 species
GAUGAACGCUGGCGGCGUGCUUAACACAUGCAAGUCGAACGGGAAACCUUUUAAUGAAGCUUCGGCAGAUUUAGCUGGUUUCUAGUGGCGGUCGGGUGAGUAACGCGUGGGUAACCUGCCUUAUACAGGGGGAUAACAGUCAGAAAUGACUGCUAAUACCGCAUAAGCGCACAGGACCGCAUGGUCCGGUGUGAAAAACUCCGGUGGUAUAGGAUGGACCCGCGUUGGAUUAGCUUGUUGGUGGGGUAACGGCUCACCAAGGCGACGAUCCAUAGCCGGCCUGGGAGGGUGAACGGCCACAUUGGGACUGGGACACGGCCCAGACUCCUACGGGAGGCAGCAGUGGGGAAUAUUGCACAAUGGGGGAAACCCUGAUGCAGCGACGCCGCGUGAAGGAAGAAGUAUCUCGGUAUGGAAACUUCUAUCAGCAGGGAGGAUAGUGACGGUACCGGACUAAGAAGCCCCGGCUAACUACGU